AGAGUUUGAUCCUGGCUCAGGAUGAACGCUAAGGCCUAACACAUGCAAGUCGAGGGGCAGCACGAUGUAGCAAUACAUUGGUGGCGACCGGCGCACGGGUGCGUAACACGUAUGCAACCUACCCAUAAGCGGGGAAUAACCCGGAGAAAUCCGGACUAAUACCGCAUAGUACGUUUGAGUGGCAUCACUUAAACUUUGAAGAUUUAUCACUUAUGGAUGGGCAUGCGCAUGAUUAGAUAGUAGGCGGGGUAACGGCCCACCUAGUCAACGAUCAUUAGGGGUUCUGAGAGGAAGGUCCCCCACAUUGGUACUGAGACACGGACCAAACUCCUACGGGAGGCAGCAGUGAGGAAUAUUGGUCAAUGGGCGAGAGCCUGAACCAGCCAAGUCGCGUGAAGGAAGAAGGAUCUAUGGUUCGUAAACUUCUUUUUUAGGGGAAUAAAGUGCGGUACGUGUACCGUUUUGUAUGUACCCUACGAAUAAGGAUCGGCUAACUCCGUGCCAGCAGCCGCGGUAAUACGGAGGAUCCGAGCGUUAUCCGGAUUUAUUGGGUUUAAAGGGUGCGUAGGCGGGUUUUUAAGUCAGUGGUGAAAGUUUGCAGCUCAACUGUAAAAUUGCCAUUGAAACUGAAGACCUUGAGUGUAAAUGAGGUAGGCGGAAUGUGUUGUGUAGCGGUGAAAUGCUUAGAUAUGACACAGAACACCGAUUGCGAAGGCAGCUUACUAAGAUACAACUGACGCUGAGGCACGAAAGCGUGGGGAUCGAACAGGAUUAGAUACCCUGGUAGUCCACGCAGUAAACGAUGAUUACUAGCUGUUUGCGAUAUACAGUAAGUGGCUAAGCGAAAGCGAUAAGUAAUCCACCUGGGGAGUACGCUCGCAAGAAUGAAACUCAAAGGAAUUGACGGGGGCCCGCACAAGCGGAGGAACAUGUGGUUUAAUUCGAUGAUACGCGAGGA
rnacentral:rRNA from 1 species